rnacentral:rRNA from 1 species
AUGAACGCUAGCUACAGGCUUAACACAUGCAAGUCGAGGGGCAGCAUGGUCUUAGCUUGCUAAGGCCGAUGGCGACCGGCGCACGGGUGAGUAACACGUAUCCAACCUGCCGUCUACUCUUGGACAGCCUUCUGAAAGGAAGAUUAAUACAAGAUGGCAUCAUGAGUCCGCAUGUUCACAUGAUUAAAGGUAUUCCGGUAGACGAUGGGGAUGCGUUCCAUUAGAUAGUAGGCGGGGUAACGGCCCACCUAGUCUUCGAUGGAUAGGGGUUCUGAGAGGAAGGUCCCCCACAUUGGAACUGAGACACGGUCCAAACUCCUACGGGAGGCAGCAGUGAGGAAUAUUGGUCAAUGGGCGAGAGCCUGAACCAGCCAAGUAGCGUGAAGGAUGACUGCCCUAUGGGUUGUAAACUUCUUUUAUGAAGGAAUAAAGUCGGGUAUGGAUACCCGUUUGCAUGUACUUUAUGAAUAAGGAUCGGCUAACUCCGUGCCAGCAGCCGCGGUAAUACGGAGGAUCCGAGCGUUAUCCGGAUUUAUUGGGUUUAAAGGGAGCGUAGAUGGAUGUUUAAGUCAGUUGUGAAAGUUUGCGGCUCAACCGUAAAAUUGCAGUUGAUACUGGAUAUCUUGAGUGCAGUUGAGGCAGGCGGAAUUCGUGGUGUAGCGGUGAAAUGCUUAGAUAUCACGAAGAACUCCGAUUGCGAAGGCAGCCUGCUAAGCUGCAACUGACAUUGAGGCUCGAAAGUGUGGGUAUCAAACAGGAUUAGAUACCCUGGUAGUCCACACGGUAAACGAUGAAUACUCGCUGUUUGCGAUAUACUGCAAGCGGCCAAGCGAAAGCGUUAAGUAUUCCACCUGGGGAGUACGCCGGCAACGGUGAAACUCAAAGGAAUUGACGGGGGCCCGCACAAGCGGAGGAACAUGUGGUUUAAUUCGAUGAUACGCGAGGAACCUUACCCGGGCUUAAAUUGCAGAUGAAUUACGGUGAAAGCCGUAAGCCGCAAGGCAUCUGUGAAGGUGCUGCAUGGUUGUCGUCAGCUCGUGCCGUGAGGUGUCGGCUUAAGUGCCAUAACGAGCGCAACCCUUGUUGUCAGUUACUAACAGGUUCCGCUGAGGACUCUGACAAGACUGCCAUCGUAAGAUGUGAGGAAGGUGGGGAUGACGUCAAAUCAGCACGGCCCUUACGUCCGGGGCUACACACGUGUUACAAUGGGGGGUACAGAGGGCCGCUACCACGCGAGUGGAUGCCAAUCCCCAAAACCUCUCUCAGUUCGGACUGGAGUCUGCAACCCGACUCCACGAAGCUGGAUUCGCUAGUAAUCGCGCAUCAGCCACGGCGCGGUGAAUACGUUCCCGGGCCUUGUACACACCGCCCGUCAAGCCAUGGGAGCCGGGGGUACCUGAAGUGCGUAACCGCGAGGAGCGCCCUAGGGUAAAACUGGUGACUGGGGCU